UACGAAGGGUGCGAGCGUUGUUCGGAAUUACUGGGCGUAAAGGGUUUGUAGGCUGAAAUGUAAGUCAAGUGUGAAAUCCCCGAGCUAAACUUGGGACGUGCAUUUGAAACUGUGUUUCUUGAGUAUCGUAGAGGGUGGUGGAAUUGUAGGUGUAGGAGUGACAUCCGUAGAGAUCUGCAGGAACAUCAGAGGCGAAGGCGACCACCUGGCCGAUUACUGACGCUGAGGGAACGGAAAAGCGUGGGG
rnacentral:rRNA from 1 species